GAUGAACGCUGGCGGCGUGCCUAAUACAUGCAAGUCGAGCGAACAGACGAGGAGCUUACUCCUCUGACGUUAGCGGCGGACGGGUGAGUAACACGUGGAUAACCUACCUAUAAGACUGGGAUAACUUCGGGAAACCGGAGCUAAUACCGGAUAACAUGUUGAACCGCAUGGUUCAACAGUGAAAGACGGUCUUGCUGUCACUUCUAGAUGGAUCCGCGUCGCAUUAGCUAGUUGGUAAGGUAACGGCUUACCAAGGCAACGAUGCGUAGCCGACCUGAGAGGGUGAUCGGCCACACUGGAACUGAGACACGGUCCAGACUCCUACGGGAGGCAGCAGUAGGGAAUCUGCCGCAAUGGGCGAAAGCCUGACGGAGCAACGCCGCGUGAGUGAAGAAGGUCUUCGGAUCGUAAAACUCUGUUAUUAGGGAAGAACAAAUGUGUAAGUAACUAUGCACGUCUUGACGGUACCUAAUCAGAAAGCCACGGCUAACUACGUG
rnacentral:rRNA from 1 species